rnacentral:tRNA from 5 species
GUCGCCGUAGUGUAAAGGAUAUCACACAAGAUUCCGGUUCUUGUAAUGGGGGUUCGAUUCCCUCCGGCGAUG